AGAUCCUUGGCCAAACAACGCGGAUUGCAGUUCAUUUCAAAGGUCAGCACAUAUUUAAGCUUGCUUCAUUACUGCCACCUUUAUGCCUGAGAUUUUCAUUUAAAAAAAAAAUCAGUUUACCCAGGUUCCUUUAGAGACAGAAAAAUGAAAGUGCUGAGUCCUAUUUUCAUUUGGAGAUAUCAAGCUUUUUAUCAAAUUAUAGUGGUGGCGUUUCAGAAUAUUUCAUAUCUGAUCAAGAGGGAAAUCCAAAAAUAAUUUUCUCUUUAUUCAGGAGUCUUUCAGGCAGGAAAACUGUUUUAUUUUUUACUUAAUAUUGUGCUCAAGCCAAUCAUUUUAAAUUCAUAGAGAAAGCAGACAUUUAAAAACAAUUUAUAAUAAAAAUAUUUUGGAGUUUAAUAUUUUUAUUUAUAUUUUCUAAUGAAAACACCACAAUUUGUACUCUUUCGACAUGUUUUAACUUAUCAACUAGUAAAAUAAAUAUACACACUUUCCUUUCUUAUAUUAAGGAUGGUGAACAAGUGGAUAAUUAUAAAACACUUUCUAGUUAAAAAGAAAUAGUUUGCCUUUUAAGAAAAAAGCAAGGAUGGUUUAUUUUGUUUUAAAUCAAAUCUGUCCUUUUCCUAUUUACCAUAAGGAUCUAAUAUACAUAGGAAGAAUAUGAUACAGUAUACAUUAGGAAUAUUAAUAUGGCCUGUGUAUAUUAAGGAUUCUCAAUGGUUUAUGUCACAGAUAUCUUUAAAACUAAUACUUUAUUUUUAAUUAAAAUAAUUAAUUUUGAGACGAAGCUUUACAUCUUCUUUGCAAAAACAGAGUUCUAGGAAAUGAAAGAAAAUCAUUCUGAGAUAGGAUGUACAAGCCACUGAGAAAAUACAUUUUCAAAAUAGUGUUUUAAUAAAGGUUUUUGAUACCAAAAUGUGAAAAAAAUUGUAUAAGUGGUUUCGUUAAUCAUUGGAAAUUAAACUGCCUAUAAUUUUUUUAAUGACUAACAACAUAAGUAGUAAAAAAUUUUUCAAACUUGAUGUCAUGAUCAUUUUAGAUCAUUGAAAUUUAUAUUUUUCUUGUAACACAUUGUGGGAACAUAAUUAUGGACAUACCUUAGAAAGAGUUUAAAAGGAAUGCCUGGAGGCUAAAGG
rnacentral:lncRNA from 10 species